UACGGAGGGGGCUAGCGUUGUUCGGAAUUACUGGGCGUAAAGCGUACGUAGGCGGCUUUGUAAGUUAGAGGUGAAAGCCCGGGGCUCAACUCCGGAAUUGCCUUUAAGACUGCAUCGCUUGAAUCAUGGAGAGGUGAGUGGAAUUCCGAGUGAAGAGGUGAAAUUCGUAGAUAUUCGGAAGAACACCAGUGGCGAAGGCGACUCACUGGACAUGUAUUGACGCUGAGGUACGAAAGCGUGGGGAGCAAGCCGG
rnacentral:rRNA from 1 species